UUUAUUUUAUUUUAACACGGUCUUGCUAAGUUGCUUAGGGCCUCACUAAGUUGCUGAGGCUGGCUUUGAACUCGAGAUUUUCCUUCCUCAGCCUCUGAAUGGCUGAAAUUACACUCAUGCACCACUAUGAUUGGAUACUGACAAUUUUCAGUUGAGUCGUUGCUGUGGUUAUUAUUGUUGUGUUUUGUUUUUGUAUUUUUUAAAUUGGGUUUUGUUCUCAUUUCAAUUUGUUUUUUAUUUUUGUUAUUGAAGCUUUUGAGUUUUUUACAUAUCUUGGAUAUUUACCUCUUGUCAGUAGUACAGUUUGCUAUAUUUCCCCUCAUUCUAUAGGUUGUGUAUUCACUCUGUUGUUGGAGUCUUCUGUUGAGCAGAUGCUUUUCAAUUUGAGAUAAUCCCAUGUGUCUAUUUUUUUCUCUUGUUUCCUGAUCUUUGGGCGUCUUGUCCAAAAAAUCCUAGCCCACUCCAAUAUCCUGACAAUUUUCCAUUUUCUUCUUGUAGUUUUCAUAGUUCCAGGUCUCACAUUUAAGUCUUCAAUCCAUUUUGGAUUGAUUUUUGUUACUGGUGAGAAACACAGUCUACACACACACCCCACAAAAACAACAACAACAACAACAACAACAACAACAAAAACACACUCAGAAGAGCUGGGCAUACAACAACUAUAUCUAAGCCUUGAUGCUAAAUCAAGAAAGAAAUGACAGACUUGUCAACAAAUGGUGUCCAGAACAUCUGGGAGAAAAAGAAACCAAAAAGGUGAAGUUAGAUCUCCAACUCAGACUAUUUGCAAAAUAUAUAGUCUAACCCAGUUAGAGAAGCGCUUUAAAUAGGAAAAUCAAAAUUCAACAUUUUAGAAGAAAAUGGAAGAGAAUGCAUUUUUUGACAAUGAGCUUCAGAAGAAUUUUUAAAAUGAAAACACGGGGGGCGGGAGGGGGGAACAUACUGCCUAAAAGAUUGAUUCGUCUGUCUCCAGAAAAAAAAAAAAAAAAAAAAAACACUCCAGGAAAGUUCCUAUUUCCUGAUGCUACAUCGCUGAUCUGCUUGUUUAACCUCUCCUGUAAACCACAAUGAUUUUGUCACCGUUGCUUUAUAAGAAGCUUUGCUAUCUGUUUUCCUCCUCCCGUUAUUUUUCUUUUAUGGAUGUAUUGCUUUUGUCGGCCUGGUGCUGAAUUCCCGUUUGCAUCUCUCUGCUUUCUUUAGGGUUCAGAUUUUUAUUCCUGGAGUCACCCCUCCUCAGUGCUGCUUGUGCAUGAUACCCAGCAGUAAGAUGGCAGGAUCAUGAAACAGCUUGUUGAUGUGUUGGAUUACAUUGAUGAGUUUUGAAUGUUGAACCAGCCUAGCACAUCUGGAAGGCAUCUCGUUUGGUCAUGGGCACUGACCUUGGGGCUCCAAGAGGGCACCCCCAGCUCCCUUACUCCAAGUACAUCUCUGGGAUUUCACUGGUCCUCCUGACCUCCCUGUGGGAUCCAACUGAAGCUGAGACCACCUAACAUGACUCUCUCACUAAUUUCUUCUCUUUGCUUGAUCCCCUGAUUCGACCACCAGUUCCUCCCAGGAGUCUCUCCUUUGGAGACCAUUUUGCACACAGACCCUCACUUUCCCAUCUGCUCCCCAAGACUCCAGCCAGGAUGUUCAUGCCUGCAUCCCACAUGACCAGGGCUCGUGGGCUCUGGUGGGAAUCAUCCCAGCCAGAUUCUUUUGUUUUUACUUUUGCAUCUCAUUUCUCUCUUGGCUGUCAGAGACACUUUCCAGGAUUCUAAGGAAAUUGUUUGCAAAGAAGUUCGACUCUGCUUUGAACGCUAAAAAAAAGGAAUCUUGUUUGGAUAAAGGUUUUUCAAAGAAACAAUUACAUGUUUUUCCUCCUCAGCUUUUGCACAAUGAAACAUUCAGCCCUUUGACUUUCCAAAUUGCCUCAGCACAAAAUAAUGCCCAACCUCACUGGAGAGCUAAAACAUUGGUAUCUGUUUCUGUUUCACAAUUUUCCCCUUGUAUAGACCCUCUGAGCUCAGGUACUUGGAAGUCCAGGCGGUUGACCAAGUGGACAGCAGUGUAUGUCUGUCCAAAGAUGGAGUGAGCCAUACCACGUACACACACACACACACACACACACACACACACACACACACACACACACACACAUACAGGCUCUGGGAGAAGAACAUUUUUCCAUCGCUGGAUGAAUGAUACUGUCCUUUAGUCUUCUUUUCACUUGUGUGCCUACCUUCGUCUCCUACCCUCCUAUGUGAAACGGACCAUGUUUCCCUCAAUACAACAUGACAUCACCUCUGCCCAGAGUCACAGAUUUCUUUUUAGGUCAAUCCAUCCACAGCUGUCAUCAUAGACAAGAAAUUAGUCUUUUUUCCCAGAAUUCAUAGGAAUCCAUUUCCCCUGCUCAGGGAAUUGAGCUAGGAGCAGCCUUCUUGCAUUGGAUUCAUCCAGGUGAGUCUGAGUAUCAUUUAAAAUGGGUCAGUCUGUUUGAUGACAAUUGGUCAACUCUGGGUAGAUUGUGCCUUUUUAAAAUAAAGACUGUUUUUGGUCAAGGGCCCUCAGGACCUUUUGGCCUUUAAGUCAUACAUUUUUCCUCGAGAGAAGAAAUAUGCCACCCUAACAGGAGAAUUCCACUCACCCAGUUAGGAGCUGCAGAUGACUGUGACCCACUUGGUGGCACUAGGUAGACAUGAUUGGGCUGCUAGAGUCGGAAGGAACUUAUACAGACAUUCAUGCUCCAGACCCUUGACUGACAGAAGAGGAAACUGAGACUUUAGAGAUGAGGACAAACCCCUUAAGUUUCUCUUUUCCUUACAACAUAAAUUGAGUCCUUAAAAAAAAAAAAAGGAAACCUUUGAAAACAGCAGAAAGGAGAUUACUGUCAUCGUUCUCCAAACUCAGCACUGUUAUGGCUGUUCUGCACGGGGACCCGGGACCGUUUUCAUGGGCAGACUCUUUCCCCACCUGUUUGGGUUGGUAAAGCCCCUGAGUUUUAAAAGAAAUUAUUAAUCAUGUCUCUUAUAAAAUCUCAGUUUAACUAACAAUUCUCUUCAUUUCACAAGUGGGAUUCAGCCAGAGGGUUUAAACCCAACAGUACAUCAUCCUUGAUAUUCAAUCAAACCUUCAUAAAUAAAGUCAAUGGAGAAUCCAAGACAGCCAGUCUGAGAAUUUGAGUCAAGAAAAAAACAAACCAUAAAUGCAUUUUCUUUUCUUGGGAGGUAUUUAGGAGCCAGUGGAGGGCAGAAGACAGCCACCUGCAGACAGUGGGCUGUCUGAGUGAAAGUGGUUGGAGGAAGUAUGGAACCGGGGCAGGGGGUGUCAGAAGAGAAGGGCCAUCCCCGGCCAAUAGUGAUGGUCAGGUACAGGCUCAUGAAGGUCAGGUUUCACUGGAUGGGCCAAGUCAGAGAGAGAUGAAGUUUCUAACUCAGACACAUUGCCGCUGUGGUGAUAAUCUAUCAAUAUCUUUUUUAAAAAAUUCUUGAAAUUCUGAGUCUAAAUAAAGAUUUGAAAUCCUAAAAUGAUUUCAGCCAUGCCACUGUAAAAAUUCCAUGGGAAUGCCAUCCUGAUGCAAAGACAAACAAACAGGUCUGAUAAAACACACAAGAGCUUCUCUUUCCCCAAGUCCACAGCCUCAUGAGGGAGACCCAACAAGAAACUGUCCCCCCAGGUGCCCCGAGAUUAACAGGGGCUAGUGACAACAGCACAGGUGCCCACUUCAGAGGGAUGGAUAGGAGGAAAGCUACCCACUGUCUCUGGGAAAGCAAGGGACCAGGAGAGUAGGUGUUUUCACGUCUCUUAGAUGGCAGAAAAGACACAGCUAAUUCAGAGGAGGUGUCCACGGGCACCUUGAAUGGCGGGGACUGACACUCUGCAUAGGAAGUGAUAAAACCCACUUCCUCAGGCUGAAGGUGUGUCUGCACACAGGAACAAAACAAUUUCAUGUCACAGGACUGUGGAUUUCUAGCCAUCUUCCCCUUGGUAAAUUUAAAUUCACUUCUGUAUAUUCUGUUCCAUUCCCAUACCACCCAAGAGUGUUACCGGAUGUAAGGUCUGCAUCGUGGGACUCACUUUCUUGAACUGGGAGAGACUUGAAGACAGUUGUUAAACAUGUGAGUACCAAGACUUUUGCCUUUUUGGCUUAGGAAGGAGAUAUAAAGUGUGCAUUUUUCACUAAUGAAAUCAAAGGAGUCUUCCUGAAAGGCUCUACUUCAACCUGCCCAGCCCACAAGACGGCCAUAGAUGGCUUCCCAGCCCACGUGUCCUCCGAUGAGUCCCAGAGAGGGACAAAGACCCUUUUGUGUCCCUCCUCCACAAAUGGGAAUCAGUUACCAGUAGAUUUAAGAACAAUUGGGAGCUUUUCCUGUUUUAAGACGGAGCUGGAACAAUAGUUCGUGAUGACGAGACGUUGCCAUAAUUGUUUUAAUUGAUGUUAUUCUUGUGUUAUCUCAGUUUAUUGUGUAUUUACAUGCAUUUGCUUAUCACAGGUCAUGCCUGAAAAUGGGCUUCCAGCUCCAUUUACAUACAGAGUUAACAAAUCCGUCGUGGCAUACAUGUGUAUUUCCCAGUCCCACGUGUUUAUCUCCGAUGGGCUCUGCCAUAUGUGGUCGCUAUGUAUUUCAUGCCCACAUGUUUAUAUCACACAGAUAAUCCAUCUGAGAUUGAUUUCAACCUCACUUUUAAGUCCGUGGGACCCGCAGAACAAAUAUGCAUGUUGAAAUACAAGCUGAAGUUGUUAUUUUGCUACAGAAAGAACAAAAAGAGCUAAUGGUUGGGUGUUUUUUUUUUUUUCUUUUCUUCUUCUUCUUUUAACUCUUUGUUAUGGAUCUAUUUAAAAUAAUGUUCCUGUGGUUUGUUACUCGAAUUUGCUAGUGAAAAAGGACUCCGUUGGUACACUGCAGUUCUCUAAUGUCACACAAGGAGUUUCGCCUCGCAUCCCCCCUGUGAAUCCCCCGACCAUCACUAAAAGCAAAAAGACGAUGUAAACAAAACCACAAAGACAAUCACUCCUGGGGAAAUGCAUUCUUACAUCAAGCAUCAUAGCACAGCUAUGAGACUGACACUCUGUUUAUAAAUGAUAAACAUCUAUCCACACAUUCCUACCUGUCUUUCAUUUCCCUAUAUCCGAAGCAGGGCAAAGAAACCAACAGGCGUGCCGGGGGGAGAUGAGGGAGAGGGUCAUUGUUUUAUCGGUUCCACUUACACACUCGCAAGCCACACCUGCACAUCUGGAGAUGUGUUUUCUGUGAGUUUCAUGACUCUGAUGUGUUCAUUCUCACCCAGUCACACCCAUGGGCCGCUCUUGCCAUGAGCCACCCACCACCUUUGCAACCCACGUAGGGAUGUCACCCGGCAGGGAACAGAACCGGGUGAACGAACAGACUGCGGACGUCACUGCACCCGAAAUGGAUCCAUCAUCCAGAUUGGAAAGGGAUCUCCCUCUUGGGCUUUUAGAGGAACAACCACACGCGGAGGACAAGGGAUCUCCUUUAAAGCAGGGGUCCUCGGCAGUGGCUGGCUCUCGCAUUUCAUUUAAUAAAACAUCCAAAUCCAAACUUGAA